rnacentral:rRNA from 1 species
ACCUACGGGGCGCAGCAGUGAGGAAUAUUGGUCGUUUGUUGGAAGCCUGACCCAGCCAAGUCGCGUGAGGGAAUAAGGCCCUACGGGUCGUAAACCUCUUUUGCCGGGGAGCAAGGGCGGGGACGUGUCCCGGCCCGGAGAGUACCCGGAGAAAAAGCAUCGGCUAACUCCGUGCCAGCAGCCGCGGUAAUACGGAGGAUGCGAGCGUUAUCCGGAUUUAUUGGGUUUAAAGGGUGCGUAGGCGGGCUUUUAAGUCAGCGGUAAAAAUUCGGGGGUCAACCCCGUCCGGACGUUGAAACUGGGGG